CAUAUUUUCAUCAUAUAUUUAACUGCAUCAGUAUUUCUUUUACCUUGACAUUUCCUUUUACCUUGAUCUCACUUUUCCCUAUUUGGUGUUUAGCUCAAUUUCAAGGCAACUAUAUUUAAUGAAAACUCUUCCACUGAUGAAUAUUAGUGGUAGCUAUUCAGCUGUGGUAUUUUUUUCCUUGACCUUCCCUGUGACAUUGAGCUUACUAUUUCCUGUUUGGUGGUUAGCUCAGUUUCAAAGUAAUUAUUUUUUGCCCCUUUUGAAUAUGGCCAGGGCAUAUAGUAUAGGAGAGGAAAUCUAAAUUUAAUUAGAUUGGUGUUUGUCAUGUCAGUGGAUGAUAUCCAUGUAUAUAAAUGAGGAUCAGCAUUUCAUGCGAGUAUAUAUUUUUAAAAAAUAAUGUUAAUCUUUCUAUUGAUAACUAGGCAACAUUUAACCAAUGCAAAAUUGCUAUUUAUCUUUAUUGCAAUUUUCUUAGAUUUUUGGUAAAUUUGAAUUAUAUUCAGAGUGAAAUGAAUGGGUGAUACUUGAGUUAGAUAGUUUAAAGAUAGGGAGGGGAAAAAACAUUUUCAGAAAAGGGGACAUUUUUUUAUUGGAACACUUCACUUUGCCAUUGAAAUAAUGAAUUAGAUUGAUAAGGGAGUGUUCAAAAGGUUUUCCUUUUCAUUUAUGUGUGAUAUUAGUUGUAAACAACUAAGAUUUAACUGUAUAAAGUUUUUAGAUUUAAUGACAAUAGAGAAGAGUGUUUCAAAGGUUCUCUUUAUUUUGUAUACAUUUGUGAUAUGACUUGACCACAGCUCAGAUUUACCUAUAUAAAGGUUAGCACCACACCAGACUAAGUUCAUUAAAGGUUUACACCCUGAUAAUAACACAACAAAGUGAAUUCCCUAUUGUGAAAGCACUGCAUUUCUCUUCUAAUUCAUUGAUUAGGUGAAUGAGAAAGUGCGCAGCAACUUUCUCUCCAUUGAAAAGCUAUAAAGUCUUUACAUAAAGAAGAUAUUUCCCCUUCAAUUUCCCCCUAUGGUCAUCCUUAAUUUGCAUAAUUGCAUUAGUCUAAUUUUUCCACAAAAUGAAGGAAAAAACUCAACCUAUUUUCUAUUGUGAAUGGGUCAGAAUAUCAGGCCAUGAGAAGAUACCGAUAAAUCACUGGGGUUUUUAUUUAACUUGAGCCAAAGGCUCAAAUGAGCUUUUCGAUCAAAACUUUCCUUGUUGUUGGAAACUUUUCACAUUUUCAUCUUCUUCAGAACCACAUGGUCAAUUUCAACCAAACUUAGCAUAAAGCAUCCCUGGGUGAAAGGGAUUCAAGUUUGUUCAAAUGGAGGACUAUGCCCCCUUCAAAAGGGAGAUAAUCACAAAAAUGCAAAAAUAGGGUGGGGUCAUUUAAAAAUCUUCUCAAGAACAACUGGGUCAGAAAGUUCAAAUUUACAUUGCAGCUUCCUGACAUAGUGCAUAUUCAAGUUUGUAGAUAUCAUGGCCCCUGGGGGUAGAGUGGGUCCACAAUAGGGAUAUCAAAGUUUUACAAGGGAAUGUCUAGGAAAAAGUCUUUAUAAGUCUUCUUCUCAAGAACCACUAGUCCAGCUUUCUGAUAUGGUGCAGAUUUCAUGUUUGUAAAAAUCCUACCCCGAGGGGUAGGUUGGGGCCACAAUAGAGGAUCAAAAUUUUUAAUUACAUGCUGAUAUACAUGUAUAGGGAAAUUUUUUGGAUAUAGGCGAAGUUGACUCAGGUGAGCGAUCUUGGCCCAUGGGCCUGUUAUUUUCAUAUUGCGUUACAAAUGUCCAAUGGGCGGGGCAUUCAUGUCCUAUGGACAUAUUUCUAGUUUUGAAUAUGGAUAACUUGAUACAAUUGUAACUUUAAAAAUGAAAUGCAAAUGUAAUACAAAACUGCUUUAAAAAUAUUUUCCUUCUCAAAUUAUUUUUAAAUCCCCACGUAAGAGCCGAUUGCAAAAUGAACAUUUCAUAUUUGAUAUUAAAAAAAAGAAGUGGAAGACUAUUUCACGCAGUCCUACAACAAGAAAUAUAAGAUAUUUAAUGAAAAAUUUAAUUCCUAGGAAUUUAUGCACUUGAAAAUCUAAAUCUAGCCAUGUAUUCAAAGAAUACUGGUAAACAGCAGUUAACCGAAUUCCAUGUUAUGUAGUGCAUAUCUAAAGCGUAGGAAAACAAUCUCCUAUUACACAUGCAUAUUUGGUUGCAUUUUGACGUCUCCUUACCGAACGAUUGUCAUGUGAUACCAGUAGGCAUUUUAUGAUAAUGACAUAGAGUAAUGUUUUGGUAAUUUUGUCUCCCCGUCUGGAUGUUUUCUGUACGUUUGUAUGUCUGCCUUCUUCAUUCAUUACAAAGAUUACAAGAAACAUUGAUGCAAGCACCAAAUUUUUGAACCAGAAAAAUUUUGGGAAGUGUAAGAGCAAAUUUAUUUAAGAAAAGGUGUUCCAAAGAAUUCCUUUCCUUAAAAACGCGCGAAAAUUACACCGCGAAAGCUGGCAAAAUUUAGAGAAAUUUCGAUCAAACCCGGAGAUAAACGAAAUAAGUGAAAAGAAUCGUAUAAUUAUACGAAGUAACUAUUUAUUGGUCAAUCAAUGAUGCAACUUAUAUAAGAUUUUAACUUAAUUCCAAAUACCAAAGUCAACAACAGGCUAUACACAGUUAGAUUGGUAAAGUUGUCUACUAGUAACCAGCUAAUAGUAACUGGUUACUUGAAAAGAGAAAAGUUGGCUACUACUAUCCAGCUACUUGAACCAGGAAAUAUUAGCCACUAGUAGCCAGCUACUAAAAGUAAGAAAAGUUAGCUACUCGUAGUCAAAUACUACAAAAUAUAAAAGUUAUAAUUACUUAUAGUCAGCUACCAGAUAAAGGUUACUAGUUUGAAAAUUAUUAUCUAUCGGGUUUAUUUCUAAAGAGGAGUGGUAUGAAAUUCCAAACUUCAUGCUCAAUUUCCUCCAAUUACUUAACUUUCAAAUGCAAAAUACGAAUAAACUUUUCCAACUGGGUGUUUACUUUGAAAAUGAUAUACGAAUUGAAUUCAGACCUUCAUUCAUUUGAUAUACCAUCCAUUUUUAGAUAUCUUUUACAAUCUGAGUCGAGUUACCUUGACAUUUCAACAUUUGUAUGAAAACCAUAAGGACAUUUGUGUUUGUGUUAGAUAUCUGACGAAUUUACGACUAUACAUAUGGCAAGAAGUGAUAUAUGGUGUCUUGAUAUGCCACUAGUUUUCAGAUAUUGGGGUUUAUCUAAUAUGGAUAAACCGGGUUAUUUCGUGCAGCUUUAUCUUGAUUAAAUUCGAAAUGCAUCGGGUUCCUCGUACGAAAUUCCUAUACUCAUUUCUGCGCGCAUGUCAUAGAUUACUCUUUUUUAUUUCGUCAUUCGAACAGAGCAGACGUUAAAAAUUUACACCCACCCUCCCUCUUCCCCUUAAUUUUCAUGUCCCUUAGUAUUUCUGUCAAUUCGUUCUUCGGUUGUCGUUUCCGGUUUGUUAAUUUCUCGUUUCAGCGUCAUGACGUGGAUCAAUACAGGCUGAGGUUCAUUGACUGUGGAUGUGCAUUGCAGACUUCCAAAGUUCCUGUCCAGAGUGAUUGUUGACUGUUAGGCAUAAUUUUGCAUAGAAUGCUGUCUCCGGGGGGUACUGUUUUUUCCAGGCUCCUUUGGAUCAAGAUGUUGGCAUACACAUGAGACACAGGAUGAGGAACACGUUGUUUCUCUUCAUGAUUACGUUCCCAUUAUUGGGUCGGUGAAAAGCACCUAUGAAGCAGUCGCUGUUCUCUGUCUUGGGGACACCAAAAGAGCUGCAGAAAAGGGCAUUAAUGUGGAUGAGGUUACUCUAUCUGAAUUUCUCGUUAUCUAGGGAGCAGAUGAAGAGAACACAAGAACAAUUUUGCAAACUAUUCUGGAAGAUGGAAAAAAGGGAAGAUCCAAGGAGGUCAGGGACACCAUAAGCUUAGUUGAUGCACAGAAAAUGACAUUUGGAAAAUCUUUCAAAGCAGCGUUUGUUGUGGACAACAGCGUUCAUUCCAGCUGAUAUGAAACUACCAAGUGGACAUAAAAAGGGCGAACACGUCAUAAAUAAUUGUGUUCCUAAAGUCUGUCGAGAUAUUCGUGAAAUGUUUAUCGAAAAAGCUUAUGGAAGGGGUCCCAUAGACGCACCCAAAGACCAAUUGGAUCGGAAAUGGUAGUGCACUUCGACACGAAUGAGCAUUACAUUGAUCCAAACUCGGUAAUGUUUGGGGGAAAGAUGGAGCAGCACAAGCACACUAUCUUCCUGUAUAUGUUAUGUAUUCUCCACAAAGACGGGAAAAAAUACACCGGGAGAAAGGAACAUAAAGAACUUUGUCAGUGAGAUUAUUAAAGAAAGUUUUCAUUGAUGAGGUGGCACUCAACAUAUGGAGAAGAGGUGGUCAGAGGAAUAUGGCAAUAUUUGAUAAGGCAAAAGGAGAGGUUGAGGUGAUGUACAGGAACUUGGCGUAUCAUCAUGAGAAAGAUCUGUUGAUAGAAUGGGUUUAGGAGUUGGCCGGACAGUCGUAAGCCGUGUAGAUAUACAUGUACAAUGUAGCAAUAACCCCACAAAGACAAAAUAGACUCAUAACCUCGUUCGAGUUCAUCUCGCAUGUAUACGUAUUUAUAAACAUUUCUAUUUACAACCAGUGCCUAGAUAUAGACCGUAUCACACAUAAUCCACCUAUAUGUUUAUCUUCUUUCAACUAUCUUCAAGCUGGACAUGACAUUACUAGUGAUGUAGAUAUUCUUGAAAAUGACGACCUCAAGUCACUUAUCCAAAAUUCAGCGAACUCACGAUAAGUUAUCAUUUUAUGUGAGAUUCACACGGUCUUCUGUUUCUGAACAUCUUAAGGUGUUAUUUUAACAUUGUCAUUAUUUUACAUGUAUAUUCAUAUCAUAAGAAGCAGCUCUGUUAACAAAUUGGGCAUGCAUGACACAUUUUUAUGUAAGUAUUUUUGUAUAAUUAGAAUAAAAU